rnacentral:misc_RNA from 1 species
GAUGAAGACGUAGUGAAAUGCGAUAAGUAGUGUGAAUUGCAGAAUUCAGUGAAUCAUCGAAUCUUUGAACGCACAUUGCGCCCCAUGGUAUUCCGUGGGGCAUGCCUGUUCGAGCGUCAUUUACCCCCUCAAGCUCCGCUUGGUGUUGGGCGUCUGUCCCGCUUCGCGCGCGGACUCGCCCCAAAGGUAUUGGCAGCGGUCGUGCCAGCUUCUCGCGCAGCACAUUGCGCUUCUCGAGGCACCGGUGGGCCCGCGUCCAUCAAGCUCACCCCCCCAGUUUGACCUCGGAUCAGGUAGGGAUACCCGCUGAACUUAAGCAUAUCAAUAAGCGGAGGA